AUUGAACGCUGGCGGCAGGCCUAACACAUGCCAGUCGAGCGGAUGAAGGGAGCUUGCUCCUGGAUUCAGCGGCGGACGGGUGAGUAAUGCCUAGGAAUCUGCCUGGUAGUGGGGGAUAACGUCCGGAAACGGGCGCUAAUACCGCAUACGUCCUGAGGGAGAAAGUGGGGGAUCUUCGGACCUCACGCUAUCAGAUGAGCCUAGGUCGGAUUAGCUAGUUGGUGGGGUAAAGGCCUACCAAGGCGACGAUCCGUAACUGGUCUGAGAGGAUGAUCAGUCAAAAUGGAAAUGAGACACGGUUCCGAAUCCUACGGGAGGCAGCAGUGGGGAAUAUUGGACAAUGGGCGAAAGCCUGAUCCAGCCAUGCCGCGUGUGUGAAGAAGGUCUUCGGAUUGUAAAGCACUUUAAGUUGGGAGGAAGGGCAGUAAGUUAAUACCUUGCUGUUUUGACGUUACCAACAGAAUAAGCACCGGCUAACUUCGUG
rnacentral:rRNA from 1 species